rnacentral:rRNA from 1 species
UGAGGAAUAUUGGUCAAUGGACGGAAGUCUGAACCAGCCAUGCCGCGUGAAGGAUGAAGGCGUUCUGCGUUGUAAACUUCUUUUAUCUGGGAAGAAACCACAGAUUUCUAUUUGUGUUGACGGUACCAGAAGAAUAAGCACCGGCUAACUCCGUGCCAGCAGCCGCGGUAAUACGGAGGGUGCGAGCGUUAUCCGGAUUUACUGGGUUUAAAGGGUGCGUAGGCGGGCUAUUAAGUCAGAGGUGAAAUCUCCGGGCUCAACCUGGAAACUGCCUUUGAUACUAUUAGCCUUGAAUUAUGUUGAGGUUGGCGGAAUAUAACAUGUAGCGGUGAAAUGCUUAGAUAUGUUAUGGAACACCGAUUGCGAAGGCAGCUGGCUAAACACAUAUUGACGCUGAUGCACGAAAGCGUGGGUAGCGAACA